rfam:Chlamydiales bacterium 38-26 SCNpilot_expt_500_p_scaffold_610, whole genome shotgun sequence.
GGGGCAAUAGCUCAGUUGGUCAGAGCAGCGGACUCAUAAUCCGUUGGUCCCAGGUUCAAGUCCUGGUUGCCCCA